ensembl:snoRNA SNORD17 small nucleolar RNA, C/D box 17
GUGAAAUGAUGAUUCAGUUUAUCCAUUCGCUGAGUACGCUGCACUGACCUUCUUCCAAGCCUGGAUUUCUGUUCUAGGAACUCUGGGCUGCAUAGCCUCCAGAUGCCCUGCAGUCUGCAGUGUUCUACUGUGGACAGCUUGUGUGUUGGUGGACUACCGGUAAGAAUGGUUGGUGUCAGCAGGGAUGGGUCCCUGUGGGUCUCAUCUCACCAAGAUGAGUGGUGGAAAUCUGAUCAC